CCCCUCUCAGGUUCGAAUCUGGAGAGUUUCCAGUACUCUACCAGUCUUGGCUAGGGGAGGGAGAGUCAGACAGAGGCCUGUCCAUUCCAUUCCUAGCUCUGGCAGUGGCUAGCGAGUGGAAGGCAAUCUGCUACAAGU